rnacentral:rRNA from 1 species
UAACAAGGUCUCCGUUGGUGAACCAGCGGAGGGAUCAUUACCGAGUUUACAACUCCCAAACCCCUGUGAACAUACCACUUGUUGCCUCGGCGGAUCAGCCCGCUCCCGGUAAAACGGGACGGCCCGCCAGAGGACCCCUAAACUCUGUUUCUAUAUGUAACUUCUGAGUAAAACCAUAAAUAAAUCAAAACUUUCAACAACGGAUCUCUUGGUUCUGGCAUCGAUGAAGAACGCAGCAAAAUGCGAUAAGUAAUGUGAAUUGCAGAAUUCAGUGAAUCAUCGAAUCUUUGAACGCACAUUGCGCCCGCCAGUAUUCUGGCGGGCAUGCCUGUUCGAGCGUCAUUUCAACCCUCAAGCACAGCUUGGUGUUGGGACUCGCGUUAAUUCGCGUUCCUCAAAUUGAUUGGCGGUCACGUCGAGCUUCCAUAGCGUAGUAGUAAAACCCUCGUUACUGGUAAUCGUCGCGGCCACGCCGUUAAACCCCAACUUCUGAAUGUUGACCUCGGAUCAGGUAGGAAUACCCGCUGAACUUAAGCAUAUC